AGUGAACGCUGGCGGUAGGCCUAACACAUGCAAGUCGAACGGCAGCACAGUAAGAGCUUGCUCUUACGGGUGGCGAGUGGCGGACGGGUGAGGAAUACAUCGGAAUCUACUUUUUCGUGGGGGAUAACGUAGGGAAACUUACGCUAAUACCGCAUACGACCUACGGGGGAAAGCGGGGGAACGUCGGACCUUGCGCGAUUGAAUGAGCCGAUGUCGGUUUAGCUAGUUGGCGGGGUAAAGGCCCACCAAGGCGAGGAUCGGUAGCUGGUCCGAGAGGAUGAUCAGCCACACUGGAACUGAGACACGGUCCAGACUCCUACGGGAGGCACCAGUGGGGAAUAUUGGACAAUGGGCGCAAGCCUGAUCCAGCCAUACCGCGUGUGUGAAGAAGGCCUUCGGGUUGUAAAGCCCUUUUGUUGGGAAAGAAAAGCAGCAGGUUAAUACCCCGCUGUUCUGACGGUACCCAAAGAAUAAGCACCGGCUAACUUCGUG
rnacentral:rRNA from 1 species